rnacentral:rRNA from 1 species
CAGAGGAUUGCCCUAGGUAACGGCGAGUGAAGCGGCAACAGCUCAAAUUUGAAAGCUGGCCUUCGGGUCCGCAUUGUAAUUUGUAGAGGAUGCUUUGGGUGAAACGCCAGUCUAAGUUCCUUGGAACAGGACGUCAUAGAGGGUGAGAAUCCCGUAUGUGACUGGAAAUGUUAACCUAUGUAAAGCUCCUUCGACGAGUCGAGUUGUUUGGGAAUGCAGCUCUAAAUGGGAGGUAAAUUUCUUCUAAAGCUAAAUAUUGGCGAGAGACCGAUAGCGCACAAGUAGAGUGAUCGAAAGAUGAAAAGCACUUUGGAAAGAGAGUUAAAAAGCACGUGAAAUUGUUGAAAGGGAAGCGCUUGCAAUCAGACUUGUUUAAACUGUUCGGCCGGUCUUCUGACCGGUUUACUCAGUUUGGACAGGCCAGCAUCAGUUUCGGCGGCCGGAUAAAGGCUCUGGGAAUGUGGCCUUCACUUCGGUGAAGGUGUUAUAGCCCAGGGUGUAAUACGGCCAGCCGGGACUGAGGUCCGCGCUUCGGCUAGGAUGCUGGCGUAAUG